GCAAUCGGGAUGAACUAAGGCAUGCGAGUCAUUGUAGCAAUACAAGGCAGACGGCUCAGUAACGCGUAGUCAAUCUACCCUAUGGACGGGAAUAACCUCGGGAAACUGAGAAUAAUGCCCGAUAGAACAUUAUACCUGGAACGGUUUAUGUUUCAAAUGAUUUAUCGCCGUAGGAUGGGACUGCGGCCUAUCAGUUUGUUGGUGAGGUAAUGGCCCACCAAGACUAUUACAGGUACGGGCUCUGAGAGGAGUAGCCCGGAGAUGGGUACUGAGACACGGACCCAGGCCCUAUGGGGCGCAGCAGGCGAGAAAACUUUGCAAUGUGCGAAAGCACGACAAGGUUAAUCCGAGUGGUUUCUGCUAAAGAAACCUUUUGCUAGUCCUAGAAACACUAGUGAAUAAGGGGUGGGCAAGUUCUGGUGUCAGCCGCCGCGGUAAAACCAGCACCUCAAGUGGUCAGGAUGAUUAUUGGGCCUAAAGCAUCCGUAGCUCGUUUUGUAAGUUUUCGGUUAAAUCCAUACGCUCAACGUAUGGGCUGCCGGGAAUACUGCAUAACUAGGAAGUGGGAGAGGUAGACGGUACUCGGUAGGAAGGGGUAAAAUCCUUUGAUCUAUUGAUGACCACCUGUGGCGAAGGCGGUCUACCAGAACACGUUCGACGGUGAGGGAUGAAAGCUGGGGGAGCAAACCGGAUUAGAUACCCGGGUAGUCCCAGCUGUAAACUAUGCAAACUCAGUGAUGCAUUGGCUUGUGGCCAAUGCAGUGCUGCAGGGAAGCCGUUAAGUUUGCCGCCUGGGAAGUACGUACGCAAGUAUGAAACUUAAAGGAAUUGGCGGGGGAGCACCACAAGGGGUGAAGCCUGCGGUUCAAUUGGAGUCAACGCCGGG
rnacentral:rRNA from 1 species